rnacentral:rRNA from 1 species
UCGAGAAUCUUUCACAAUGGGGGCAACCCUGAUGGAGCGACGCCGCGUGGAGGAUAAGGUCUUCGGAUUGUAAACUCCUGUCAUGCGCGAACAAGGCCGCGGGGUUAAUAACCCUUGCGGAUUGAUGGUAGCGCAAGAGGAAGAGACGGCUAACUCUGUGCCAGCAGCCGCGGUAAUACAGAGGUCUCAAGCGUUGUUCGGAAUCACUGGGCGUAAAGGGUGCGUAGGUGGCGUGGCAAGUCAGAUGUGAAAGCCCGGGGCUCAACCCCGGAAUUGCAUCCGAUACUGCCGUGCUAGAGUACUGGAGGGGUGACUAGAAUUCUCGGUGUAGCAGUGAAAUGCGUGGAUAUCGAGAGGAAUACCAAAGGCGUAGGCAGGUCACUGGACAGUUACUGACACUGAGGCACGAAGGCCAGGGGAGCGAACGG